UCCGUAUAACAAUACUCCGAGAACUGAAAGGCUUUUUGAAGUCUUCGGAUGGAUAGAAGAACCCCUGAUGCCGUCGAGCCAAGAAAAGUUUCUAAGUUUAGCUAAUGUUGCCCGUACCGUAAACCGACACAGGUGGGUGGGAUGAGUAUUCUAAGGCGCGUGGAAGAACUCUCUUUAAGGAACUCUGCAAAAUAGCACCGUAUCUUCGGUAUAAGGUGUGGUUCGCUUCGUAUUAGGAUUUACUCCGAAAGCGAAGAAACUUACAACAAAGAGUCCCUCCCGACUGUUUACCAAAAACACAGCACUCUGCUAACUCGUAAGAGGAUGUAUAGGGUGUGACGCCUGCCCGGUGCUCGAAGGUUAAUUGAUGGGGUUAGCAUUAGCGAAGCUCUUGAUCGAAGCCCGAGUAAACGGCGGCCGUAACUAUAACGGUCCUAAGGUAGCGAAAUUCCUUGUCGGUUAAAUACCGACCUGCAUGAAUGGCGUAACGAGAUGGGAGCUGUCUCAAAGAGGGAUCCAGUGAAAUUGUAGUGGAGGUGAAAAUUCCUCCUACCCGCGGCAAGACGGAAAGACCCCGUGGACCUUUACUACAGCUUGACACUGCUAUUUGGAUAAGAAUGUGCAGGAUAGGUGGGAGGCUUUGAGUAUAUGACGCCAGUUGUAUAUGAGCCAUUGUUGAGAUACCACUCUUUCUUAUUUGGGUAGCUAACCAGCUUGAGUUAUCCUCAAGUGGGACAAUGUCUGGUGGGUAGUUUGACUGGGGCGGUCGCCUCCCAAAUAAUAACGGAGGCUUACAAAGGUUGGCUCAGAACGGUUGGAAAUCGUUCGUAGAGUAUAAAGGUAUAAGCCAGCUUAACUGCAAGACAUACAAGUCAAGCAGAGACGAAAGUCGGUCUUAGUGAUCCGGUGGUUCUGUGUGGAAGGGCCAUCGCUCAAAGGAUAAAAGGUACCCCGGGGAUAACAGGCUGAUCUCCCCCAAGAGCUCACAUCGACGGGGAGGUUUGGCACCUCGAUGUCGGCUCAUCGCAUCCUGGGGCUGGAGCAGGUCCCAAGGGUAUGGCUGUUCGCCAUUUAAAGCGGUACGCGAGCUGGGUUCAGAACGUCGUGAGACAGUUCGGUCCCUAUCUGCCGUGGGCGUAAGAAGAUUGAAGAGAUUUGACCCUAGUACGAGAGGACCGGGUUGAACAAACCACUGGUGUAGCUGUUGUUCUGCCAAGAGCAUCGCAGCGUAGCUAAGUUUGGAAAGGAUAAACGCUGAAAGCAUCUAAGCGUGAAGCCAACUCUAAGAUGAAUCUUCUCUAAGCUCUCUAGAAGACUACUAGUUUGAUAGGCUGGGUGUGUAAUGGAUGAAAGUCCUUUAGCUGACCAGUACUAAUAGAGCGUUUGGCUUAUCUUUAAUAAAGCAU
rnacentral:rRNA from 1 species